AGAGUUUGAUUCUGGCUCAGAACGAACGCUGGCGGCAGGCCUAAUACAUGCAAGUCGAACGCUCGUAGCAAUACGAGAGUGGCAGACGGGUGAGUAACACGUGGGAACCUUCCCUUUGGUUCGGAAUAGCUCAGGGAAACUUGAGGUAAUACCGGAUAAGCCCUUCGGGGGAAAGAUUUAUCGCCAUUGGAUGGGCCCGCGUCGGAUUAGCUAGUUGGUGAGGUAACGGCUCACCAAGGCGACGAUCCGUAGCUGGUCUGAGAGGAUGAUCAGCCACACUGGGACUGAGACACGGCCCAGACUCCUACGGGAGGCAGCAGUAGGGAAUAUUGGACAAUGGGCGCAAGCCUGAUCCAGCCAUGCCGCGUGAGUGACGAAGGCCUUCGGGUUGUAAAGCUCUUUUGGCGGGGACGAUAAUGACGGUACCCGCAGAAUAAGCUCCGGCUAACUUCGUGCCAGCAGCCGCGGUAAU
rnacentral:rRNA from 1 species